UUAGCGAUCGGCUGGAAAUAUUAACACCAGUCCCUAAAGGUGAAGCUUCAAUUAAAUUAAAAUAUUCUCCAAUCAACAUUGGAAAGUUCAGGUUAAGACUGCAAGUAAGGAUUGCUUUUGAAUUGCUGAAAGUUUACAGGUUCUCUGAUAGAUAUAGACCAGGUUAAAAGCAUAUUUUCUGGGACGAGUAUAUAUUUUUUUGGUUUCACCGUGUUUAUCUCUUCAAUCCAUUUCCUUCUUGAAUUCUUGGCUAUGAAAAGCGAUGUCAAUUUUUGGAACUCUAAAAAAAAUUUCGUAGGCCUCUCGGUGAAAACAGUGUGUUGGAGAGCCUUCAGCCAAAUAGCCAUCUUUUUGUAUUUGAUCGAUGAAGAAACUUCUUUGAUUGUUAUAAUACCAAUGGGAUUUAGCACUCUAAU